rnacentral:rRNA from 1 species
UACGUAGGGUGCGAGCGUUAAUCGGAAUUACUGGGCGUAAAGCGAGCGCAGACGGUUACUUAAGCAGGAUGUGAAAUCCCCGGGCUCAACCUGGGAACUGCGUUCUGAACUGGGUGACUAGAGUGUGUCAGAGGGAGGUAGAGUUCCACGUGUAGCAGUGAAAUGCGUAGAGAUGUGGAGGAAUACCGAUGGCGAAGGCAGCCUCCUGGGAUAACACUGACGUUCAUGCUCGAAAGCGUGGGUAGCAAACAGGAUUAGAUAC